CAGAAAAUAGUAUAAGUUAAUACAUAAAUUUUGGGGAUUUAAAUUGAGUGAUCUUUUCUGA
rnacentral:tRNA from 1 species